GGCCUUUUGAUGAUAAUUUAAGGUCUAGUCUGCCCGCUGAGAAAUUGAAUGGCUGCGGUAUUUUGACCGUGCAAAGGUAGCAUAAUAAUUAGUUUCUUAAUUAGGAGCUGGAAUGAAUGGCUGGAUGAAAAAAAAUCUGUCUUUGUUUAAUUUUGUUAUAAUUUUAUUUUUAAGUUAAAAAGCUUAAAUUUCAUUAAAAGACGAGAAGACCCUAUAGAGUUUUACUACAAUAAUUUAUAUUAGAAUUUUUUGGGAAUAAUUUUCUAGUUUGGUUGGGGUGAUUGAAAAAUUUAAUAAACUUUUUUUGUUGUAAUACAUUGAUUUAUGAUUGUUUGAUCCAAAAAUUUUGAUUAUAAGAAUAAAUUACCUUAGGGAUAACAGCGUUAUUUUUCUUGAGAGUUCUUAUCGAAAGAAAAGUUUGCGACCUCGAUGUUGGAUUAAAAUUAAAUAUUGGUGUAGAAGCUAAGUAUUUAGGUCUGUUCGACCUUUAAAAUUU
rnacentral:rRNA from 1 species